GCCUGAAACUAACAAGCUUCCUUUUGUUCCGGGGACACCGCAGCCACCCCGAUUUGCUGACACUUCCGCCGGGCGCCAGCAGGGGGCGGGAGACCCUCUUUUUUGAGGGCCACACGAAGGUGCUCCCGCCGGACCCGCCGUGGGUCUGGGGCAGGCAGGGUCACUGUCGGCACCGAGACCCGGGGGCGAGGGAGGCCGAGAUGGCUCCCCUGGGUGCCUGGGGAGAGGACGGCUCAGGUCAGGGACGCGACACGUUGAAGCCAUCAGAACGGGCAGCAGCAGCGGUUUCAGUUCACGAGGCCAGCCGAGAGUCCCCCGCUAAUCUGUCAGGGACCCCGUGGCGCCCUGCUGCCGCUGAGGAAACAGAGGCCAGAGAGGCCCCGCUUGGGUGACCAGCGCUCUGGUGGAUGUGGACAGCCUCCAAGGUAUAAAAGGGCUGUGACUCCCGACCUGGGCGAGACGCCUCACGCGGCAAGGGACGGAGGCCUGCCCACAGGCACGUGUGUGAACUUGGAAGCAGAACCCCCACCCCGGCCUCCCCGUGGACCCUUCAGAUGAGACCACGGCCCCAGCCUCCGGCACCCGGGCGAGCGGAGCCCGGAUUCCAGGCCCACAGAGACCUCGAGAUUCUAAGAACUGACAGCUGUUUUCAGCGGCCAAGUGUCGUGUUAACUCAUUGGGCGGGGCUGGGUGACACCACAACCCCUCUCUGGGUCGUGUGCGGCCUCCCUUCCCCCGAGGUGCUCGCUGGGCUCCCGCCUCCUCACCUGGUCCCUGCUCAUCAACACACUCUGUUCUCGCUGGGCAGGUGCAGGGCAUGGGCUGAGUUGUGUCCCCCACAUUCUUAGGCUGAAGUCCUGACCCCCAGACCUGUGCAGGUGGCCUUGGCAGGUGAUAUAAUUAAGAUGAGGCCACCAGGGUGGCCCUAAUCCAAUAUGACCGACGUUCUUAUACAGAGGGGAAACUGGCCACAGACCUGUGCACGGGGUGAAUGCCACAGGAGGAUUGGGGUUCUGCUGAUGCCAGGAGCCAUCAGGAGCCCAGAGACAGGCCUGGAGGGUCCUUCCCCGGGGGCCUGCAGGGGGCGUGUGGCCUCUAGGGCCGCCUGGCUGCAUGUCUGUGGUCAAGCCGCCCUGGCCGCGGGCUCCGUCACAGCAGCCCCAGGUCACAGGUGGUUCCAACCCCCCUGUCCCCUCCCCCGGGAGGCUCCAUGACACCCGGAGAGGAAGGGACUCUUGGAGCGGUAGGUCCCUCCUCCUCCAAAAACAGGGGCUCAGAUCCUGGCAGCCUUUGCCCCCGGCAUAAGCGUGUGUCCCUUCGGCCGUGGGGCCCCCGAAUCAGACCCCUAACAUACACACCAAGCCUACGAAGACAGACGUACAGGACAUCCCACUCCGGCCUUGUGAUCGUUUAAACCUCGACAGUGGAAAACUCACUCAGUGCAAACCCUGAAGAGAGCUACACGGUCAGAAGAAUCGGGUGAAGUGGGCAGCCGGUCGCCGAGCAGCUGCUCAGAAGGCGGAGCCCGAGCUCUGCAGGCCCCUUGAAAACAGAAACUCACGAUGCAUACCGGUGGGAAGGACGGGACGGUGUGCGCAGAGGGAAGGGCGGGCCGCGUCUAGUCUGUUCACCUCCGCUCCGUCCUGCUGGGGCUGGAGCCUCGCCAGCCUCCGACGGGGUGCAGGAUGGCCAUGGCCCCACGGCCCGCCACCCCACGCAGGCAUCGUCCCAUGAAGGGGAGACGAGACGGUGGGACCCCAAGGUCUCCGGGUCUAGGAGCGGGGAGAACGGUGGUUCACAAGCCUGUCUCUUGUUCCCCUGGAGGCAGGUGAAGCCCUGGCCCAGCACCUCCCCCCCCACUGGCCUCCCCUCCGCCCUUCCCCCCUCUGCUUUCCUGCCUUCCACGCAGAGGCGCCCAGCAGCUCAGCGGGUCUGGGCUCUCCCCCCUCUCCUCUGCGUCCCGGCCUAGAUCCUCUUCCACCUGCCCUGCAGUUGGGUGGGGCCGGUCACGCUGCGGGUUCCUGCCGCAGAGGGGCGGAUGGGACAGCGCCUGGGAUGGGCUGAAUGUCUGUUUUCUCCCACCAGAUUCCUACGCUAAAGCCCUGGUGUGACGGUGUCAGGAGGGGGCCUUUGGGAGGUGGUUAGUGUCAGAUGAGGUUGCAAGGGUGGGCCCCACAGUGGGAUUAGUGCCCGUCCAAGGAGAAGGAGAGACCCCAGCCCUCGAUCUGCCCUGCAAGGACCCAGAGGGAAGGUGGGAGUCCACAGGCCAGGCCAGGAAGCAGGGCCUCACCGGGACCAGGCCCCGCCGGCACCCCCGCUCUUGGACGUCCGGCCCCCAGAGGCGCGAGACACGGACGUCUGUUG